rnacentral:rRNA from 1 species
CCCAGACUCCUACGGGAGGCAGCAGUGGGGAAUAUUGCACAAUGGGGGAAACCCUGAUGCAGCAACGCCGCGUGAGUGAAGAAGUCAUUCGUGAUGUAAAGCUCUAUCAGCAGGGAAGAAAAUGACGGUACCUGAGUAAGAAGCCCCGGCUAACUACGUGCCAGCAGCCGCGGUAAUACGUAGGGGGCAAGCGUUAUCCGGAUUUACUGGGUGUAAAGGGCGUGUAGCCGGGCUGACAAGUCAGAUGUGAAAUCCGGGGGCUCAACCCCCGAACUGCAUUUGAAACUGUUGGUCUUGAGUAUCGGAGAGGCAGGCGGAAUUCCUAGUGUAGCGGUGAAAUGCGUAGAUAUCAGGAGGAACACCGGUGGCGGAGGCGGCCUGCUGGACUGCAACUGACGUUGAGGCCCGAAAGCGUGGGGAGCAAACAGGAUUAGAUACCCGAGUA